rnacentral:lncRNA from 1 species
CUGUGCAUUAUGACUUUGCUUAAAUAGUCUCCUGUAGGUUUCAAAAUUCAGUGCUAUGAAGGGUGAACUAAAGGGAUAAAUGUAGUCCCUGCAAGCCCUGGCUUUUCAGAACCACCCCCAGUACUGUAAUGACCUGGAGUACCAGAAGGAAGAAAGUGAAGUAAAGAGAAAAAAAAAUCUGCAUUUGAAGUCAAAGGCCUGUAAUGGAAUCUUGGCUCUACUACUUAGUAACUGUAUUUACUUGGGAAAAAGUCUUUAGCAAGCUCCCAAGGAGUGGAAUUGGUGUCCAAGAAGUCUCAUCAUAUCAACUAACAGGCAGGGUAUAUACUGGGAGUCUAGGACAGAACAGAUGAAGAUUCACCAUGCUGAAGGGGACAAAAAUGAAAGAAAAGAACUUCCAGAAAUCAGGAGCAAUAAGCAACUUCUUUGCCAUAAGUGCUCUCUAAGUCUGAGUCCACUUCUUCCUAAAUUGCAUAUGAGAGAGUGAUUUCAAGAUUUUUUUUUUUUGUGUUGGGAAGGAGAGGAAGUUUUGAACCAAUUUUUCUUAGUUGACUGACUAAAAGUUUCUCUUUGGCCACAGUGGGAGGUGGGGUGGGCUGGGGAUAUCACUAGGAGUUUAUGCUAAUGGCAUGAGAGACCAUUCCUGAACUUUCAGGUAUAUCAUUGGAACCCUGAGGGGAAUAGCUAAGCCUUGAGAACUCAACUUGGUGGAAUUGAGAGUUAGAUUCUAAGAGGUUAUGUGAACUACAAUAAUUCAUAUUGAACUUAAAAAAAUCAUUUUUAUUUUUCUAACUGUCCCAGUAGAGGUUUCCUUUUGUCAAGUACAAUGAGGCUAAUACAUAAUGUGGAUGUUUUGUACGCUAAUUUGCCAACAAAGACUUAUUGAUUGAUUACAAUUAUAGAGAAUGUUUUCCAAUUCUUUAGAAUGAGAAAAUAUUUUCUUGUUCACAUGAUGCCCUUUCAAGGCAAUUUCUGCUUCCAAAUCAGUUGUCGAGUAUUAUAGAAGAAAUGAAAACAAAAGGUCACAAAAAAUAUUGUCACCAUAUUUCAGUCCAAUCUUUGUUGGAUCAUUUUGGAAAUAAUUGUUAUAUAACAUUAUGGACUUUACAAUUCUAGAAUUUCAAUCUAGGUUUGGUCUACAAUGAAAUACAGAACCAAAUUUAUAUUUUAUUCUCAGCAUCGAAUUUGAUCCUCAUAUUUAGGGAUAUAUAUAAGCAUACAUACAUAUAUGUACAUAUAUACACACUAAAAUAUGCUUUUACUUUUAUUUCUAAGUGUAAUUAUUAAUAAUUAGGCCCAUUUCAAAUAAGUCUAAGCUCUUGCCCAUAUGAUAGACAUAUGGAAGAUUUGAAU